rnacentral:rRNA from 1 species
GAUGAACGCUAGCGGCAGGCCUAAUACAUGCAAGUCGAACGAUGUAGCAAUACAUAGUGGCGCACGGGUGCGUAACGCGUAUGCAACCUACCUUUCACAGGGGAAUAACUUCGGGAAACCGAAGCUAAUACCGCAUAACACAGUGAUCCUGCAUAGGAUUAUUGUUAAAGCUUCGGCGGUGAAAGAUGGGCAUGCGUUGGAUUAGCUAGUUGGUGAGGUAACGGCUCACCAAGGCGAUGAUCCAUAGGGGUUCUGAGAGGAAGAUCCCCCACACUGGCACUGAGAUACGGGCCAGACUCCUACGGGAGGCAGCAGUAGGGAAUAUUGGGCAAUGGUCGGAAGACUGACCCAGCCAUGCCGCGUGCAGGAAGAAGGGGCUCAGCCU